UCUUCACCAGACUGCACGAGGCCACGAGGCCUUCCCUCUUUGCCGCUGCCGCCGCCUCCUCCUCCUCUUUUCCCUCGUUCUCCAGCCGCCGCCGCCGCCCCUGAUCCUUCCUCCUCGGCUCUACCAACCCAAUCCUCUGUCCUCUCUCCACUCCUCCUCCUCUCAUAGGCCCUGCCGCCGCACACCGCUGCUCCCCCGUUGGCGGUGAAGGCCCUGCAGAUCCAGCCGGGUUGGUCGCCGCCGUGCGCCCGCUCCGUCGUCAUGGGUUGUCCCGUGCUCCCCUCCUCUACACGUCAUCGCCUGAAGGUCACCGUUGCCGCCGCUGAUUUACUCCCCCAUUCUCCUCCACCAUCGCUGUCCAUGUGUGUCCGUCUCCAGGGAUCCAACUAUGGCCGCCUCUUUGUUUGCUUCCUUUUCUGAUCAUCUCGUCCACAACGCAGCGGUGGCCGCGGUGCGGACAAUCGACGGAAAGUGGGUAGGAAAGGCCCGACAGUGGAGCCACGCGGAAUGAGGCAACAGCGGCACAGGAGCUUCCCGGCGCAGGUCAUCUUCCUCUCAUUUGUCCUCCCCCAUUCCCCUCCUAGAUACUCAUUGAUUAAGAGGUACAAGUGGGUGGCCAGCUGCAAUUUCUAGAUGGAAGACAUCUGGUUAAGAUUUACUUUGGGUUCUUGAUUCCAUUUUCUCAAUGGUUAUUACUUAUAUGUAAUUAGUACGUAAAAUAACAAUUUUUGUAUACCAUGUUUGUGGCUGAAUGCAUUGAGUUGCUGGAAUUGUUUUAUUAGAUCACAGGCAUUAUUCAGUGCACUCUUGAUUGUCUUACCAAUGGUCCAAAUAAAUGCACAACCGGUGAAAUUGACUGUGGUUUUGAUUUACUUUUCUUACAAUAGAGUAAAUUUCAUUAUUUUUCAGUUUGGACAUACUUCUAUCGGUUUGCUUCUAAUUGCAGCUUAAUCUGUAAUUUGUAGGCUUUGCACUACAGAGCAGUUGGUGGUAGGAAGGACAGAGGACGCGAAGAACUCAUGGUUAGGUGUACGGCGAGGGGAGGAGGAGGAAGCACUUCUCUGACAAGAUCCAUAGCCACCACUUCAUCAUCGGCGGCAACCCUCUGUAUUUCCAAUGUGUAGUAAUGUUAUUCCGGACGCAUGCGAUUUACAAAAUAAAAGGAGUAGCAAAUAUCAUAUACCUGGUUAAGGGACUGGCUGGUUUCUGAUCCACUGCAAAUUGAGCUUUCUUUUGUGAAGGAAUAUUACACUAAAAAAGUUGUCAUCAGUAUAUAUCUCAAGAUGAAUUGUGUCAUGGGAGCCGAUACGGCGGCAGACACAAGCAGAGCAAAGCGAAGCCGGCGCGACGGCCGGGCCCUCCAAGCACACAGCCACUGCCUCCUCGCCAAGAUACGCUAGCCUGCAUCUACAAGAUUUUCAUGCUAUGGUGUUAUUGCAAUCCAGGAAAAAAGGAACUUGCCCGUAUGGUGUUCACUAAAAAGAAGAAUCUGCUAAAAGGUUGGAUGUGGGCUGUACGUGGACAUGAACUUGUUCCUGGGAUUCAGAAGGGAGCACGUGCCAUGGAACUUCAAGAAGACGGAGAACCAUGUGUACCUCCAUGUCGUGCUUUGGCAGAAGCUGGAUGCCGACGAGUCAGAACCUGCUGAAGAAGCCACUCUGCUCACCAUUGGCGCUUUCCAUGGGAAGUGAUAGCAAUGGAAGCGGAGCUGUAGCUCUUCUGAAAAUUGCAAGGGUCUUUUCACACAUCUAUUCAAGCCCUAAGACCAGAAGCAAGUUUAAUCUUCUCUUUGGAUUAACAUCUGGCGGGGUUAUCAAUUUUUGUUACAGUGGCUUGAAGUUUUGGCCAACAUGUGUGUGAUAUUAUUGACUAUGCAAUUUACUUGAAUAUCAUUGGUUCCUGGAGCAAUGAUCUCUGGAUGCAUGUAUCAAAGCCUCCAGAGAAGCCUUACAUCAAGCAAAUCUUUGAGACUACAUGUUGAACAAGUUUCAGAUUGAGGAGAGCCUGGUCCCAAGAUGUGCCUAAAUUUGUACAGGGAAUAAGGAACUACAAUGGCCGGUCUGAAGCUUAUGGGCUACGAUUUCGACUACGAGGAUUCCACGCCAGCGUGCACGGUAAAUUGCCAUAUGAGAAGUUGAAGCCGGACCAUGUCCUGAGGAACCUACUGCUUUCGAUGCCUCAAAAUCCCUCUGAUGUUUUUUGCUAAUCGCAUCAGCAAGGGGUCUGUGACAGUUAAAUGCUUCAGCAGUUACAGUUUGUUGUUGCACUGUAGAUAUUCACCAACUCUGACGAGGCUCACGCGGCCGCCCUCCUCUUGGUUAACUCUGACAUUCAUUGUGCCAUUUAUAUCAAAAUAUUGCAUGGGUUUUUGUUGGUUGUUCAGGGACUAAGCUUAUCUUGGUUAAUGUGAAUUUUAAUUGUACUC